GGUGGCUCAAUGGUAGAGUGCUUGGCUUGCAUGCAUGAGGCUCAGGUUCGAUUCCUCAGCACCA
rnacentral:tRNA from 1 species